CCCUUGCUUCUGAUAAGAGUCCCACUUUUAAGUUCUGGUCAUGUCCCUGUCCUUCGGUUCUGUGGGGAGGAUAAUCUUUGGUUCUACGGUCAUUUCAUGUCAAGAUUUCUUCUUCUGUGCAUCUGACUAUGUGACUUUGCACAUUUUCUGAAAGGCAAUUCUUAAUCACUCUGCUGAUAAGAGAUGGGGUGCCACAUUAAGCCCUGGGGACUCAAGGAUUAACACAGCAUGAUACCUAACCUUAAGAAGCUUACAGCUUUUUGGGCAAGACACAACGUUCAUCAAAGAUCACAGAACAGUGUACCGGGGCCAGAAAUGAGAGAUUAAUGCAAUGCCAAGGGGUACUUACGAGGGAUGUGAAUCCAGCCUGGAGGCCUUCCUGGAGUGGAGUGGUGUUGACGUGAAAGUGGGCAUACUUGCUUUGCCAACGAUUAAAAAGAAGCUGAAAUCCAAAGUCAUAAACUGACCUGUAAAAUCACGCAGUUGAGAGGUGAAGUUGGGACCAGAGCUCACAGCUCCAGGAACACAGCCACAGCAUCACCUGCUUCCCACAUUGCACUCAUAAAGCACCCAAGCCAGUCUGAGGUCUACUUCAAAAAGUGAGAAAUUGAGAAGAGGAAACGUCCCCCUUCAUUUAGGGCAAAUUUGUCUAGUUACUGCUGCUGCAUUCAGAAAAUCGUAUUCUUUCAGUAGCUCGUCUGCAGAAUGGUAUUGUUCUUCACGGUGAGCCAACAUUUCAUGGAUGACAAAUUUCAUCAAUCCUUUUGUGGGGGCUGAGGUGAGAAAUCCUGCUAAGAAAAAGAAGGAAUGCAUUGUUUUUACAAAGCAUUCUGUAAGAGAGACCUUGGAACACCAGUUAGUGUCAUUUCUGGGCCCAUAUAGCUGAGUGGACAGUGUAAUGCCGAGAGAAAGAGACUCUCCCCAUCCAUGCACGACUCUGUGCAGGGGAGACUGAAGAGAACACUCUGUGCAUCUGGCAUUUGAGACACUGAGCAUCUCAGCAGCAAUGAAGUGGGGUGUGGGCCUUGGGAAACGGAGACCCGGCCUUUGGCAGGGACUCCAGACGUCUCAGGGAAGACAGCAGGAUCUGAGACAGUGGUGAGACCUCCCUCAAGUGAGAGCAGCUGCAGAGGUUUCAUCCUCAUUCCUUGAGAGAGUGACAAGGAUGGGCACCAUGAGGGAGCAGAGGGGACUUAGCAAGUGCAUGAGUAACACCUUCUUAUGACCCUCAGUGAUAACUGAGGGUGAGCAGCAGAGUAUGCAAUUUGUACGAGGCUGAAAUCCCAGCAAUUUCUCUGAUGGAGGGCUAGCUUCACAGAGUGAAAAAUUGUUAACACGAUCCAGUGUUUACCCAUGGGCUGCUGUGGCUUAGAGACUGUCAAAAUAAGGCAAAAUGAAUACCAGGCUUGAAAAUUUCCCAAGCAGACAAGACCGUUUAAGCCACGCCAGCAAAACUAAAUCUAGCAUAUUUCAUGAACAUAAGUGAAAUUUCAUUUAGGUUAUUUCUUGCAAAUGUCUCGGAUAAUCAUAAAAGAAACUUAAGUCAUCUUCCUAAAAUGGUAUAAAGUUAUCACUUUUCACCAAUCUCUGCUGUCUAGAAACCCUCCUGGUAAUAAUCUAUCGUUGGAAAGGUUAAACCCAUUCCUCAUUUUCACCUUAUAAGUCAUCCUGAACCACCAUGCCUCUGAGCUUGAUAUCAGUGUUGGAUUUGAAGAUGCCCAGUUCAUGAACUGUUCUUUUGUGCACAAUAAACUCUUACUAAAUA